AGUGAACGCUGGCGGUAGGCCUAACACAUGCAAGUCGAACGGCAGCACAGUAAGAGCUUGCUCUUACGGGUGGCGAGUGGCGGACGGGUGAGGAAUACAUCGGAAUCUACUUUUUCGUGGGGGAUAACGUAGGGAAACUUACGCUAAUACCGCAUACGACCUACGGGUGAAAGCAGGGGAUCUUCGGACCUUGCGCGAUUGAAUGAGCCGAUGUCGGAUUAGCUAGUUGGCGGGGUAAAGGCCCACCAAGGCGACGAUCCGUAGCUGGUCUGAGAGGAUGAUCAGCCACACUGGAACUGAGACACGGUCCAGACUCCUACGGGAGGCAGCAGUGGUGAAUAUUGGACAAUGGGCGCAAGCCUGAUCCAGCCAUACCGCGUGGGUGAAGAAGGCCUUCGGGUUGUAAAGCCCUUUUGUUGGGAAAGAAAAGCAGCAGGUUAAUACCCCGCUGUUCUGACGGUACCCGAAGAAUAAGCACCGGCUAACUUCGUG
rnacentral:rRNA from 1 species